UCCUUCGUAGGUCCCCAUGAUAGAUUUGUACAGGAUCCUCACUCGAACCCCAAUCGCCCUAAACCUUAACCCAAAGCGCACACCUCACAAGACGCCCCGACGAGAAAUCAUCUGCUGUAGCAUACCCCUUCCCUCCUCUUUGACCUCGGCGUCGUGUCGAAGCGAGAGUAGUGGAGCUGCUGCCCUUCGCGGUGGAGUUCCUUGUGGGGGAGACUGUCUUGGCCGUGGGAAGGUCUCUCCUUUGGCUUCUUCUAGUGGUAGUCUCUUUAUUAAGACAAACUGGUCCACUGGGUGAAUUGUCUGAAAUGAUUUACAUGUUGGAUCUUUCCUCCAUACCUUAUGUCUACCUAAUCAAAGCUCAAAGCAUGUGUACAUUUUAACCAGUCCAUUAUGGAUACUUACGAGAAGCAAACAUGAAGUUGUACCAGAAAACAUGGAUGGUGGUGAGUCAGAUGACAAUGAUGGCGAUGAGAAAGACAGGGAUGAGGAUGGAGAUGAUCAAGAAGAUGACGGAGGCAAAGAUCUCUCGGGGAGGAGAAUGAUGGCAAAGGAGAUGAAGAUGAUGAUGACCCUGAGGCCAAUUAUGGAGGAGGAAAGGGGAAGAGGAGGAUUAUGAAGAUGAUGAUGGGGACGAGGAUCAAGAAGAGGAAGGGGAAGAGGAAGAUGAAGAAGAUGAGAAUGAUGAAGAGGACAAGGAACUACCACAGCCAGCUACCAAGAAGAGGAAGUGAGGCAGGGGGUGUGGGUCGUGUGGCAUCUGGUCCUCAAGAGUUUGUUUCAUUUUGGUCACUGUUGGUUAGACAAUAGCAUUAAGGGUGGAGUUUAGUUUCUGGCUGGGAGUGGGUCCUCAUCGAUUAUUAGGCAAAGAGGGAUAACUUGCCGUCAGUGAACAUGAUACUUAAAUGUUCUUCAUUGUAUAUGUUCAAGGCUACUUCUUGUGCUCAGUGCUACUCUAUACCCUUAACCUGGAGGCCAAGUAUAAUCCUAGUUGCUUGUCUUUUCA